UAUGUAACAAAAGGUGGUAAUACGACUCCAAAAUGAAUCUUGACACUAGUAUAUAAAAUGCGGUGUAUAAAAGAUAGCAAAAACAAAAUGAAUCCCAAUUGGCGUUUACGCGUAUAAACAGGGAAUUUCUAAAGAUUACAAAUUAAAUAAACUUUAUUCUCUGCCGCGACCAAAUAGUUGUAACAUAUAUAAACAUAUUCCUUACGAAGGAAUUAUCUUAAAUAAUCAGUGGGUUUGUUUUCCGCCGCUAAUGCCUCAAUCUGACACCAUUGCUGUUUUCUAAUAAUCAUAACUUCUUCUUGCUUUAUAAUGGCCUGUUUAUAAUCCUCAACAAGUCCAUUAAAAAAGUCCGCAUCCAUAUCGACAAAAAUUUGUAAAACAUUACAAGCAAUAGCUUGUAUAGUGCUAUUCCAAUGCUCAUUAGCAGUUUUGUAAAGAGAAGGAUAUAUUAUAGGGAGAAGGGUUACUACGUUUUGGCUGACAAGACUUGUGAAGUACUCAUUGCUCCACAGACAUAAGGCACGUUCGGCGACCUGGAAAUGCAUACUAGAUAUUGAGCGAGCUAGUUGCUGAAAUAAAGGGGACAUUAUAUUAACAAAUUCGGAAGGCUCCAAAACUUCAAAGAUAUCUUCAAUUUCAUUCAAAAACAGUAAUUCUUUAAAGCUGUUUAUUCGUGGCCAGUACUUAAGAAUGCCAGUCAAGACUGCCUUCGUUAAAGAAGGAUCUUUAUCGAUAAACUGAACAAUGCAAUACGUAAGUUGGGGAUGGUAUAAAAAAACAGAUUUAGUUUGAUGUAAAGGAAUAAGCAC